rnacentral:rRNA from 1 species
CCUACGGGAGGCAGCAGUGAGGAAUAUUGGACAAUGGGCGCAAGCCUGAUCCAGCCAUGCCGCGUGCAGGAAGACGCAUCUAUGGUGUGUAAACUGCUUUUGUACGGGAAGAAACACCCCCUCGUGAGGGGGCUUGACGGUACCGUAAGAAUAAGGAUCGGCUAACUCCGUGCCAGCAGCCGCGGUAAUACGGAGGAUCCAAGCGUUAUCCGGAAUCAUUGGGUUUAAAGGGUCCGUAGGCGGUUUGGUAAGUCAGUGGUGAAAGCCCAUCGCUCAACGGUGGAACGGCCAUUGAUACUGCCAGACUUGAAUUACUAGGAAGUAACUAGAAUAUGUAGUGUAGCGGUGAAAUGCUUAGAGAUUACAUGGAAUACCAAUUGCGAAGGCAGGUUACUACUAGUGGAUUGACGCUGAUGGACGAAAGCGUGGGGAGCGAACAGGAUUAGAUACCCUGGUAGUCCACGCCGUAAACGAUGGAUACUAGCUGUUCGGGGCAACCUGAGUGNGUAGACGAAGUAGAGUAAGUAUACCACCUCGGAGGUACGUUACGUCGAGAAGAGAACGAACAAUAGUAAGUAGUACGGACGUGAGACGUAGCGACGGACGACGACGAGGGAGGAGG